UCUCACUGAAUUAGGGCAAAUGGUGAAGGGCAUGGACAAUAGGAAUCGCAUCAUCAUCCCCAUCUUCUACUAUGUCGACCCGUCAGAUGUACGCGACUGCAACGGCCCUUUCGCGAGCUCCUUUGUGGAGCACAAGGAGCGCGGCGUCAGCGACAGUGUCAUUGAUUCCUGGAAGUCUGCCCUCCGUCGGAUCGGCGAGUUGGAGGGACACCAUCUCCACGAAAAAAGUGAAGUGUAAUUUUCGUGACCCGCUCUGGCCUGAGAUUACUUUUCUCAUGUAUCUUGCCUGCUUUUGCGUUAAAAUUAACUAGGUCUCCUGGCGAAAUCGCAAAGCGAAUUGUUGACCAAGUUCAGCAGAAGCUGAAGAAGCAGGACCUAAUUGUGACGAAACAAUUAGUCAGAGUUGACUCUCAUGUGCAAGGCAUAAUGGCAAAGCUGAACGUUGCCGUUCGCAAUGGGCAGGCGGUUCAAAUUGGGGACACACGUCAAAAAGUGUUAGGAAUAUAUGGCAUCCCCGGGGUGGGUAAGACAGUUCUGGCCAAAUGUGUUUAUAAUCAACUUUAUCAUCUGUUCGAUGCCUGCAGCUUUCUUGGGGAGAUCCAAGCCAAAAUUAAACAUCACGGCAUCGUGUCUGUACAGAACAAGCUAAUUUCCGACCUUGAUGAAGGAAAUGCCAAACAGUUUGAUUCUUCUGAGGAAGCUCUGUUUCAUAUUCGGAACAACUUUUGCAUCAGGAAGGUCCUUGUUCUCCUUGACGAUGUAUAUGAUCAUGAACAGCUCGGUGAAUUAGUAGGAGAGCUUGAUUGGCUUGGGCCCGGGAGCAGGGUCAUUCUAACAUCCCAAACGCAAGACGUCCUUAGAAACAUCGAUGGUGCGGAAAGUUUUGUCCUCAAACCGAUGAAACAAGAUGAAGCUCUGAAAUUGUUCUGUAGGCAUGCUUUUGGAACGGAUUCUCCCCUCGAGGAAUUCGAGAAACUGUCCUCAGAUAUCGUUGCUGCUACUGCCGGGCUUCCUUUAGAGCUCAGGGCGAUAGGUUCAUCUCUGUUUCUUGUAAAAUCAAAGAAAGUGUGGAGGGAAACGUUGACUGCAUUGGAAGCAGCUCCUCAUAAGAGAGUCCAAGCAGCCUCGGAGAAGAGCCAUACCAACCUAGAUAAGAA